UUUUAGCCCUGAUGGAAGCGGCAUCCUUUUAUGGCUUUCUUUAAGACAUAAAAGAUAUAGCGUACAGCAGGAAUAAGC
rnacentral:sRNA from 1 species